rnacentral:misc_RNA from 1 species
GGGGUAUGCGUUUCAAUGCAUUCUCCAUAUGGUGUGUGUUUGUGUUGAGUAUCGUCGCCGCCGGCAGCUACGAUAUUCGACCUUCAAUUCAAUGGACGAGGGAAAUUCUGCACGCGGGAUUUCGGGUUUGGGCUCGAGGGCAAACUCGAGUCAUUAUGUAUCAUUGGCUCAAUUGGAUGAUAACGAUAGCAGUGUAGCAAAGCACCUUGAAUCUGCAAAUACCAUGUUCUCCUUCAUCUGGUGGAUUAUUGGAUUCUAUUGGGUAUCUGCAGGAGGACAAUCUUUAG